UGGAGCUGUACAAUGCAAAAAGUGGGAUUGUUGGUCUGCAGAGGCUCACAAAAAGUCUUGCUGAUGAUAGCUCCAUACUGAAGAAGAGGACUGUUCUUCUGCUGGGCCUUCCUUAUUUUCUCAAGGAGGAUCCCUCAUGCCUUUUCAAGACUGUGCAGGCUACAGACAAUGAGGAUGUAUUUACAAAGGGAAUGAAAGCUGGCAUUGUGUUGGUGAAAGAAGGAGAAGACAUCAUUGAUGUUUCAGUGGUCCUCGAGGAAGCAGUGUUCCUGUGUGAUCUGAGGGAUGUCCCAAAUGCUGUUGCCAUGCUGAUGGGACUUCUUUUUGCCCUCAACAUCGACUACCCAAAAAAACUGAGGUACACCUUUGAAGUCAUUCAGAAGGUCCUCAUGAACAUUGGUGGAGGACAGUGUUCCUCUCUUGUGCAUGGGUUACGAAACAGACUCCUUCGGACAACUGUUUAAGACUGUGCUCUGAUAACUGCUCUCUGCCUGUUAAAAUUGAAUUUGAUAUUGACGUUUUUAUUUGACAUUUAUUUUAUCUGUUGCACACAUUAUUUUGAAAUUCACAAUUUCUCUUUGGUACAUUACUAAAUGAGCAAACAUAAUGGCACAGUUAGCAGCAGAACUUGUUCAUUAGCAUCUUUGUUCUCAGAGAUUUUAUUCCAAAAGAAUUAGGGCAGUGUACACUAUAAAGAUUCAUUCAAAGGUUCUCAAGGAUUUUGAAUGUUGAUACUUUUUCACUUCUGCAUUGUUUUAACAAAAAGACCGUUG